rnacentral:rRNA from 1 species
UACGUAGGGACCAAGCGUUGUCCGGAAUCAUUGGGCGUAAAGAGCGUGUAGGCGGCUUGUUAAGUCUUGCGUGAAAUCUCGGGGCUCAACCCCGAGCGGUCGUGAGAAACUGGCAGGCUAGAGUGCGGGAGAGGAGAGUGGAAUUCCUGGUGUAGCGGUGAAAUGCGCAGAUAUCAGGAAGAACACCGGUGGCGAAGGCGGGACUCUGGGCCGAUACUGACGCUGAGGAGCGAAAGCGUGGGGAGCAAACAGG